rnacentral:rRNA from 1 species
UACGAAGGGGGCUAGCGUUGCUCGGAAUGACUGGGCGUAAAGGGCGCGUAGGCGGCUUGCACCGUCAGAUGUGAAAUUCCUGGGCUUAACCUGGGGGCUGCAUUUGAUACGUGUGGGCUUGAGUGCGGAAGAGGGUCGUGGAAUUCCCAGUGUAGAGGUGAAAUUCGUAGAUAUUGGGAAGAACACCAGUGGCGAAGGCGACUUACUGGACACAUAUUGACGCUGAGGUGCGAAAGCGUGGGGAGCAAACAGGG